rnacentral:lncRNA from 1 species
UGCAUAAAUCCAAUCCAAAUUCAUAAAUAGAAACAUCUCCAUUUCUCAAUCUCAUUAUUUUCCUACUAGUAGAUAAACAAUUUUAGCAUAACAUUACCAUAAUUUAAUCAAAAUUUAAGUUUUUCUUUCCCCCUAAUAUUUUGGAAGUUCACUUCUUUUUCAGAGGAAUCAGUAAUCAUAACAAUGUUUUGAGAUAAGGACACAAACUAUCAACUAGAAAAUCUGCUAAUCCUGCAUUUAAUUGCAAAAUGUUGUACAAAGUAAAAUAAAAGAAAAUCAAAUUAUAUUAAAUUAAAUUCUAAAAAGAAAAUGUAAAUGAAAGCUUAUGGGAAAUGAAGCUAAGGUAAGCCAAAUCGAUUUCAAUGUCACUUGUUUCUGCAAUAAAACAAAGCAAAAAAAAAAAAAAAAGAUGAGAUUAAAUGAAGAAACUAAGCUUGUGAUCUCUGCCCUGCAAAUUACAUGCUCUAUAAAACAUAAACCAAUUCUCAUCCAAUAAUAAUUGAAUAACACAAUUUUGCUCUUAAUUGUGCUCAGCUACCCUUAAUCCUAUAGCCUCGUAUUGAAAUACAAAACUCACCUCAGGGCAGAGCAAUUUUACAGUAAAGAUAUACAUACAUACAUACAUACAUACAUACAUACAUACAUAAGUUGCUUUCUAAAAAUGAAAAAACAAGUUUCCCCGGAACAUAAUGAGUCUUAAUAGGUGUUUCCAGAUUCUAAAAAGAGAAUAGAUACUUCUGCAAAGGAUCAAAGAGAGAAAAGGAAUAAUAAUUAUUUAAGGAAUAAAAAAGGUUAAGCAUAUGGUUUAUUUAUUUAUUUAUUUUUGCCUAACCUCAAGUAUUAAUGGAACUAUUUGAUUAGGACUUUGAGCUUGCCUGACAUGUUCUCCAGCUAUAAUAUUGAGAAUUUAGUACUGUUGUUUGGAUAAAACCUUUAAGCAUAAUUUCAUCAUACAUAUAAAUUAUUUAUUUUUCUAUCAUGUUUUUUCACAUUAGAAUGUAAACAUAAUUAAGAAAAAAAAAUCAUUUUAAGAUGAACAUUUCAAAUGGAAGAAAAUCAAAAUCAGUUCAUCAAUCCAAAAAUACCAAUAUAUCAAAAAUACCAACUUGUAUAUUCCAGAUUUAAUCCCCCUCGGGCGAAGAUUCAGUGUCUUAAAAUUAAAAUCAGAAAACCAACAUAUAUCAUAUUAUCAAAAUAUCAAUCCUUCCCUAGCUAUUAGCAAAACAUCCCAAACCCUAACCUUAACCAGUAACCACCCAAAAAAAUUCUUCCUUUAUCAAGAUAAACGAUCCAAACAACAUCAGUUUAUGAAUUACAGGCAGAAAAUCAAAGCACCCUAUUGGUCAUAUAACUGAGAUCAAUCAGUUCAUCAAUCCAAAAAUAAAAAAGCAAAAAGCAAAAAACAUGAAAAAUAAUUUAACUAAUUAACAUGCGGAAAAGGUGAGGAAUUGAGGAUUUACAAAUACAGAGGGGAAAUAAUUCGAGAACUAACCUAUUUAAUAGAAUAUGAAAUUACAGUGUAUUGACAGCCUCUAACCUCUGAUUCUAACACUGUUGUUUGAACUUUGAUGAGUUGAUUCUGGAAUUGGGUGGAGGACCGGAGGUGGAUCGGUGGAUUGAUUUUGGAAUUGGGAAAAAAAAGGGAGGAGGGCGCGGGCUUAGGGAUUUUGGAUUGGUGGAAGUCUGGAAAAGUGGAACUGUGGAAGUGACUUUUGUUUUAAAUGUAGUGUAUUUUAAAAAUAAAAAUAUAUAUAUUUAUUAUAUUUCGGGUCGGGUCGGGCCGGGCCCAGGACAAAAAAAUUUUACCUGAGAAAAACGGGCCUCUUUUUUACCCAAACCCAUAUUUCGGGUCUAUAUUUUUACUCAAAUUCUCUUAUAUUUUGGACGGGCCGUCGGGUCGGACUAGGCCAGGCCGCCUAACUCAUGAUCUCCUCUACCUAGGACUAAUAUUUGUCGCAAUAGAAUUUGAUUCUUAUCCAGGACUUGACUCUAUUC